rnacentral:rRNA from 1 species
GAUGAACGCUGGCGGCGUGCCUAAUACAUGCAAGUCGAGCGAACGGACGAGAAGCUUGCUUCUCUGAUGUUAGCGGCGGACGGGUGAGUAACACGUGGAUAACCUACCUAUAAGACUGGGAUAACUUCGGGAAACCGGAGCUAAUACCGGAUAAUAUUUUGAACCGCAUGGUUCAAAAGUGAAAGACGGUCUUGCUGUCACUUAUAGAUGGAUCCGCGCUGCAUUAGCUAGUUGGUAAGGUAACGGCUUACCAAGGCAACGAUGCAUAGUCGACCUGAGAGGGUGAUCGGCCACACUGGAACUGAGACACGGUCCAGACUCCUACGGGAGGCAGCAGUAGGGAAUCUUCCGCAAAGGGCGAAAGCCUGACGGAGCAACGCCGCGUGAGUGAUGAAGGUCUUCGGAUCGUAAAACUCUGUUAUUAGGGAAGAACAUAUGUGUAAGUAACUGUGCACAUCUUGACGGUACCUAAUCAGAAAGCCACGGCUAACUACGUG